AUUGAACGCUGGCGGCAUGCUUUACACAUGCAAGUCGAACGGUAACAGGUUAAGCUGACGAGUGGCGAACGGGUGAGUAAUGCAUCGGAACGUGCCCGGUCGUGGGGGAUAACACUUCGAAAGAAGUGCUAAUACCGCAUACGACCUGCGGGUGAAAGUAGGUGAACGCCAGGCCGUACGCCAUAGGAGCGGCCUAAGUCUGAUUAGGUAGUUGGUGGGGUAAAGGCCUACCAAGGCGACGAUCAGUAGCUGGUCUGAGAGGACGAGCAGCCACACUGGGACUGAGACACGGCCCAGACUCCUACGGGAGGCAGCAGUGGGGAAUUUUGGACAAUGGGCGAAAGCCUGAUCCAGCAAUGCCGCGUGUGUGAAGAAGGCCUUCGGGUUGUAAAGCACUUUUGUCCGGAAAGAAAUGGCUCUGGUUAAUACCUGGGGUCGAUGACGGUACCGGAAGAAUAAGGACCGGCUAACUACGUGCCAGCCGCCGCAGUAA
rnacentral:rRNA from 1 species